rnacentral:rRNA from 1 species
GUGGGGAAUAUUGGACAAUGGGCGAAAGCCUGAUCCAGCCAUGCCGCGUGUGUGAAGAAGGUCUUCGGAUUGUAAAGCACUUUAAGUUGGGAGGAAGGGCAGUAAGUUAAUACCUUGCUGUUUUGACGUUACCGACAGAAUAAGCACCGGCUAACUUCGUGCCAGCAGCCGCGGUAAUACGAAGGGUGCAAGCGUUAAUCGGAAUUACUGGGCGUAAAGCGCGCGUAGGUGGUUUUGUAAGUUGGAGGUGAAAUCCCCGGGCUCAACCUGGGAACUGCCUCCAAAACUGCAUGACUAGAGUACGGUAGAGGGUAGUGGAAUUUCCUGUGUAGCGGUGAAAUGCGUAGAUAUAGGAAGGAACACCAGUGGCGAAGGCGACUACCUGGACUGAUACUGACACUGAGGUGCGAAAGCGUGGGGAGCAAACAGGAUUAGAUACCCCAGGAGUCC